GUGGUCCUACGGGAGGCAGCAGUGAGGAAUAUUGGUCAAUGGUCGGGAGACUGAACCAGCCACGCCGCGUGAGGGAGGAAGGUACAGAGUAUCGUAAACCUCUUUUGUCAGGGAACAAAGACUGGGACGCGUCCCCGGAUGAGUGUACCUGAAGAAAAAGCAUCGGCUAACUCCGUGCCAGCAGCCGCGGUAAUACGGAGGAUGCGAGCGUUAUCCGGAUUUAUUGGGUUUAAAGGGUGCGUAGGCGGACUGCCAAGUCAGCGGUAAAAUCGCGGGGCUCCACCUCUCUCCGCCGUUGAAACUGG
rnacentral:rRNA from 1 species